rnacentral:rRNA from 1 species
AUACGUAGGUGGCGAGCGUUGUCCGGAUUUACUGGGCGUAAAGGGAGCGUAGGCGGAUACUUAAGUGGGAUGUGAAAUACCCGGGCUCAACCCGGGUGCUGCAUUCCAAGCUGGGUAUCUAGAGUGUGGGAGAGGAAAGUGGAAUUCCUAGUGUAGCGGUGAAAUGCGUAGAUAUUAGGAGGAACACCAGUGGCGAAGGCGGCUUACUGGACGGUAACUGACGUUGAGGCUCGAAAGCGUGGGGAGC